GAGAGUUCAAGAGGGCGUGAAACCGCUUGGAAGCAAACAGAUGGACCUGACGAAUAGUCGCUGGGAUUCAGCUUGCUGUGUCACCUCAGCCUGUUGCCCGAUGUUGCACGGGUUGGCGGGAUUUGGUGUGGCCAGUAGGUGCAUUUCCUGGCGAUGUGCAUCAGAGCCUGUGUCGGUGCUGGAAGACCGGUUGGACGCGCCGGCCGACCUAGUUCGGUGUCCUCGUCCAGCCCUUAACCGAGUCACUGGCACAGGAGUUGGGAACAGUGCCCGCCUCUACUCCACUGGGCUAGCUGCCUGUGGGAUUGCACUGCUUUUUCGUGCUCGACCACGUUCUAGCGACCCCCCCGCUGGCGGUGUGUUCUGGUUGGAGUUGGCACUCCACUCUGGUGUUUUAGUCAGACCCCCAUCUGACCCGUCUUGAAACACGGACCAAGGAGUCUAACAUGUGCGCGAGUCAGUGGGUCGCAAAACCCAAAGGCGAAAUGAAAGUGAAAGCUGGUCCUGCCAGCCGACAUGGGACCCUCUCCUUCCGGUGGAGGAGCACCAUGGUCCCGUCCUUGCUGCAUCGUCAGCUGGGCGGAGAUAGAGCGUACACGUUGGGACCCGAAAGAUGGU
rnacentral:rRNA from 2 species